AUCACUGCUAAUCUAUCGCUGCUAAUCUAUCGCUGCUAAUCUAUCGCUGCUAAUCUAUCACUGCUAAUCUAUCACUGCUAAUCUAUCGCUGCUAAUCUAUCGCUGCCAAUCUAUCUACCGCUGCCAAUCUAUCUAUCACUGCUAAUCUAUCGCUGCUAAUCUAUCGCUGCUAAUCUAUCGCUGCUAAUCUAUCGCCGCCAAUCUAUCUACCACUGCCAACCUACCUACCGCUGCCAAUCUAUCUAUCACUGCCAAUCUAUAUAGGGUAAAUCAUGGUCCCAUUUGGUUCCAUUUUGUAAAAUGGAAUCAAAUGAGAUCAGAAUCAUUAAUUUAUUAGUAAAACAUGAUCUGAAACUAGAUUUAUAAUAUAAACAGUGUAAAAUAACUAAUUUACUAAACACUAUAUGAGAUCAGAACUAAGAUAUCUAAUAAUAAAACUGAGAAAAAAUUUAGUUUCAGUCUCAUACAUAAUCAUACAGCCAGUCU
rnacentral:sRNA from 2 species